UCGCGAGAGCUAGCAAAUCCCAUAAACCGUGGCUCAGUUCAGAUCGUAGGCUGCAACUCGCCUACGUGAAGGAGGAAUCGCUAGUAAUCGCAGGUCAGCAUACUGCGGUGAACACGUUCCCGGGCCUUGUACACACCGCCCGUCACACCAUGGAAGUUGGCCACGCCCGAAGCCGUUACUCCAACCCUUGUGGAGGAGGACGUCGAAGGUGGGGCUGAUGACCGGGGUGAAGUCGUAACAAGGUAGCCGUACCGGAAGGUGCGGCUGGAUCACCUCCUAACA
rnacentral:rRNA from 1 species